rnacentral:tRNA from 1 species
GGUCGUGUAGCUCAGUUGGUUAGAGCAUUCGGCUUACAUCCGAAAGGUCACAGGUUCGAGUCCUGUCACGACCA